rnacentral:rRNA from 1 species
CAGGGAGUAGACCCUCGUGAAAGGUAGGAUUAAUUAACCUGAUGGUAUCAUUAGUUCGCAUGGAGUGAAUGAUUAAAGAUUAAUUGGUCAUGGAUGGGGGUGCGUUCCAUUAGAUAGUUGGCGGGGUAACGGCCCACCAAGUCUACGAUGGAUAGGGGUUCUGAGAGGAAGGUCCCCCACAUUGGAACUGAGACACGGUCCAAACUCCUACGGGAGGCAGCAGUGAGGAAUAUUGGUCAAUGGACGAGAGUCUGAACCAGCCAAGUAGCGUGAAGGAUGACUGCCCUAUGGGUUGUAAACUUCUUUUAUAAAGGAAUAAAGUUCACUACGUGUAGUGUUUUUGUAUGUACUUUAUGAAUAAGCAUCGGCUAACUCCGUGCC